CACAUAAGAAACAGAGUAUGGUUUACUGUAAAGAUUUGAUUUACUGUAAAGAUUUGAUUUACUGUAAAAAAUUGAUUUACAUGAAAGAAAUGAAGAAUUCAGAAUUGGACAGCAAUACUAAUCUAAGGAAUAUUAGAGUAUGCAACUAAUGAGUUUAUCAUUUCAAAAUACUGCAGAAUGCUAUAGAAUACACUAAGAAUUGAAUAACAGACUUUGAAGUUUAACAAGAAAAAAUUCACAGAAUUCAAGAACGAAAUUUUAGACCUAAUCUAAGAAUAUUACAGAGUAUGAAAUUGACAAUUACUAUCUACUUUGAGUACAAUUGAUUUACAAAAACAAUACACAUUUAUUACUAUUGAAUUGUAAAGAAACGAGAACUGAAAAUAAAAUUGAAUCGAAAACUAAAUCUUUGCUAAGAAAUGAAGGCAGAAUUGACGGAAUUGAACACGGAAACUAACCGGAACUGAUACCUGAAAUACGACGGAAGAUGAAAAUCAAAAUGCGAAAUUGAAUCAAGAACACCGAGAGCAAACAUCAGAAGAUCAGGAAAAGAAGAACUCGCAAAUGGAAAUGAAUUUUCCGGUCUCCUCUUUCAUUGCCUCUCCUUCUUUUUAUAUCUUCCGUCUUUUAACUUCC
rnacentral:lncRNA from 1 species